GUAGGGGUCCAAGCGUUAAUCGGGAAUCACUGGGGCGUAAAGCGUGCGCAGGCGGUUGUGCAAGACCGAUGUGAAAUCCCCGAGCUUAACUUGGGAAUUGCAUUGGUGACUGCACGGCUAGAGUGUGUCAGAGGGGGGGUAGAAUUCCACGUGUAGCAGUGAAAUGCGUAGAGAUGUGGAGGAAUACCGAUGGCGAAGGCAGCCCCCUGGGAUAACACUGACGCUCAUGCACGAAAGCGUGGGGAGCAAACAGGAUUAGAUACCCUGGUAGUCCACGCCCUAAACGAUGUCAACUAGUUGUUGGGGAUUCAUUUCCUUAGUAACGUAGCUAACGCGUGAAGUUGACCGCCUGGGGAGUACGGUCGCAAGAUUA
rnacentral:rRNA from 1 species